ensembl:lncRNA
CUUGGAUCACUCAUUCAGGAGGAAGCAGCUGCCGUGUCAUGAGGCAGCCUGUGAAGGGGGACACAUGAAGGAGCUUGGACGUGAUUCUUCCUCAGCUGAGCUGGAAAGGACUGCAGCCUGACCAGCACCUUGACUGCAGCCUUGCGAGAGCCCUGGAACCAGAAGCGCUCAGCCGAGCCACUCCUGGAUUUUCAGGACCCACAGAAACUGUCGUGCACCUGGUCCUGGAGCCGACAGCUUGCAGAGCCCCUGGAAGCCUACAGUGCCGCCUGCUGGAGAACUUCAUUUCAUGCAACUUUAACACAGUGCCAAAGAAGAAAAAAACAUUUCUUGAAUGCUUCUGGAAUGUCUUAGAAGUGAAACUAAUUAAAUUACAGCAUUCUAUCUCAAAUCGGCCACUGCAUGGAGCAGGCCAGACCACACAAUCAUCCACUGCCAUCUGAUACAUCAGGGAGAGCCAGCAAAGGAAUAAUGUAGCCCCAAGAAGGUGCUCUGUGAAAGGAGGGGUGUACAAGAAAUCCAGGAGCAAGAAAACAAGGCAAGACAUCAUCACUACGUAUCUGAACCAAACAUCCUUUUGCCUGUUGCUUUAUCAAUUAGGACACCUACCACAGCAUGGUGUGCCAAGCGGUGCCAUGUCCGCACCCAGGGUCCAAAGCGGCGAACCCCGGGCCUCCGAAGCAGAAUGUGCAAACUUAACCACUGCCCCACCCAGGCCGGCCCCCUGAUUUUUUUUAAGGAGAGGCCAGCACUGCAGCUAGCUUACCUUCUGUGGAUGCCAAGCAUACUUGAAGACAGCAACUUGGUUGACGCAAAUUCAAAAGCAAUGUGAAAUGCAGCAAAGAAGACUCCCAAUAUAUUUCUCACUCCAGGACAGCGGAAGGACACAACCUGGGGUGUUCAAUGGUUUGAACUGGUAUCUUAGCCUCACUACUCUUUAGCCGUGUAAUCUUGGACAAGUAACUUCUCUGCCUCGGUUUCCUCAUCUGUAACACAGAGAUGACAAAAUGUUUACUAUGAUGGUUAAAUGAAUUAAACAUGUAAGAUGGGUACUUCCUGGCACAUAGUCAACACUCAACCAAUGUAAGCUCUUUUUUUCACUGAAGGCUAUUUGAGUUGUUUCUUAAAGGAUACUCCAGUCCCCAGAGGGCAGUGGUCUCUUGACCCUUUUCCUCAGAAUCACAUCCAGUUGUCUAAAUCAGCUGGAGAAAAGAAAGGUGAGGAAUGGCAAAGUCCAUAUGAAUAUUUGCUGCAUCCAUUUGGCAUAUCAUUUCUAUCUGAAUGUGUACCUACAUUCUGUUGUGUAUCCAUGCUAUGUGAUCUAGAACCACGCAACACUCAAGGUAGAUAACCUCCAGGACAGAAGUAAUAAACUGUGGUAAUUUAGUCAGUUAUUUCCACGUCAAAGUAUAUGGUAGGCUGAGGACAACAAUAGAGCCAGGUAAAGAGAGAUGAGGAAGGGAUAGGAGCCUGAGAGAGAUGAGCCUUCUAGAGAGAUGAGGAACGAUGCUACCUCACCAGUGUUUGAAGUACUUAAACCAAUCCUGUGACAUUUCUCUGGCCAAUGAGCCUUUUAGCAAAGUAGGUGGUGAUCAGGACAUUUAAAGUUUGAGUGAUCUCUUUGCCCAAAUAAUCCUGAACUUCUGCUACAGGAGCCUCGCAGAAAUAUACUUGAAAUCUUUGCUACAUCAAUCUGAAUUAUGCUGUCCUUUCCCACUGGACUGAAAACCUGAGGGCAGAAGCCUUGUCUAUCCUGCUUUUUUACAUAUCCCCCUUCCUAGCCUAGAACUGUGCUUAGAACAAUACCAGCACCUUAUUUUUUGACUGCUGGAUCAGAUCCUGGGAACUUGUGACUGACAAUAAUUCAAACAGUUCAGUUCCACAUGAGUGCCCAUGCAUUUGUAACAUUCUUUUUGGAAGUGCUGGAGGACAACCUGGGGAAUGUGUAAUGGAUUUGGAAAGGCUAUCCAAGCGCUGAAAAUGCAUCAAGUGUUCUAGCCUCAUUCAUCACCAGCCUGAUGCCAAUCCCCACUGUAUGAUGGGACCUGGAUCUGACAUCAUUUGACUUUUGGCAGAUAGCAGAGUAGUUAUGAAAUUUAUCCAGACACAUCAUCGUGAGAAACCCCAGAAGGCCCUUCAUAUCUUCCCAGACCCUUGUUCUUAGUGAGUCUCCAGCACACCGCCAUUGCCGAUCAAUGUUUACGUGACACAUCAAUACUAAAUAUAACUGUCCUGCCUUUGCCUUUCAGAUUUAUCUUAAAGAAUGAAUAAAAGAAGUUAAAUGAUUAUAGGAACCCACUUCUGUUUCUACUGACACAUCCAGAAUUUCUAGUCUUGAAUCAUUCCACACUUAAACCUCAAACUAUUAGGUGCCUGAUUUAUGAAAGGAAAAAGAAAUAGAUUGACAACUGGAUAAAUUCUGUCAUGGGUUGGAAAAACCAGUCUAUUGGCAUUUCCAAAAAUCUUCCCCAUUUAUUCUUUAUUAUAAAUGUGUAUAAAAUAAUUGUUGAAACUUUGAAAUUUAUUGUAUAUGCUUUUAAGUAAAUUUAACUCAGAUUCUCA